GCGGCGUAAGCAAGCGUGACGUCAGCCGGCGGCGCGCUGCCUGCACUGGUACCGGGCCUGUUCUCAGAUACAGAGUUGCCGGCCACCAGGGUGAGUUCGCAGCCAAUUCCCGUCUACCAGCUCGGAUUGGCGAGGUUAGCCGCUUGGAUCGCCCGGCGGUCGCCUCCGGCAGAACAGACGGCUCUGCGCUGUCCUCUGGGAUCCUGCUUGAGUCAGUGCUUUACAUAAGUUCUCAAUGCUCACCAUAAAGUUCAGCAAUGCCAACUGUUGAGAGUGAAGCCAAGGUAAAAACCAAAGUUCGCUUUGAAGAAUUAUUUAAGACCCACAAUGAUCUAAUACGUGAAAGGAAAAAACUGAAGAAAAAACUCAGAGAAAACAUCUCACUUGACACUGUUAAAAGCAACCCUCAGAGUAUUAAAGAAGCUAAAAGUGACAACGUGAGCUAUACUAGCACUAAUAAGCCAGAAAAAAGUGUGGGUGUCACUAAAAACAAACUGAGGAAAGCACAGUCAGCCACUAAAGAUCCAAAUGAUGGUGUUAGUGAAGAGAAAGACAAGGAAGGGAAGCCGAACAAAAAAGUUCCAAAUGCUGCACAAGAAAUGGAACCGGAGACUCCUGAGAAGAAGGCAGAUUCCAUGUAUCAGAAAGCACGAACAAAGUCACAGUCAGGUGUUGAUUAUCAGAAUCUUGGGAAGGCAAAUGAGGGGAGAGAAAACAGUGAUUUAUUAAAAGAGGAAGAAGAACUGAUGCAAGGCUAUCAGCUCCAGGCAGCUGAAGAGAUGGCAAAGGAGAUUAAGAAAAAAAUAAGAAAGAAACUAAAUGAACAGUUGACUAACUCUUCUUCAGAUGCUUUAUUGCCUGAUGACAAAUUGAGCAGCGAUAAAAGAAAAAAGAAGAAAAGGAAAGUUCCACUCCUGUCUAAAGCUGAUCUAAGCACAUUGACUAUCCCUGAUGAUGCAGUGGCAGGUGAACAAAAGAAGGAAUCUCCAGUUGGACCUAUUACUUCAAAUUCUCACCAAGAUGGUGAAAUGAGCUCAGUGGAACAAAAUGUGGAUGACAACGUGGCAGAGAACACAAAAUCCAAACCAAAAAAAACAAAAAGGAAGGCUAAAGCAGUUUCAGAUAAUGAAGAAAUUGAUAGAGAUGGUGUUCAUGAAGUAACAAGCCAAGAUAGUCCAGUUUAUGCCAAAAGUUUGCCUAAUGAUGGCCUUGUCUUAGGAGUUUACAUUCACCGAACUGAUCGACUUAAGUCAGAUUUUAUGAUUUCUCACCCAGUGGUAAAAAUUCAUGUGGUUGAUGAGAAAACUGGUCAAUAUGUCAAGAAAGAUGAUAGUGAGCAUCCUGUGUCAUCUUACUAUGAAAAAGAGAAUGUGGAUUAUAUUCUUCCUAUCAUGACACAACCAUAUGAUUUUAAACAGUUAACAUCAAGACUUCCAGAGUGGGAGGAACAAAUUAUAUUUAAUGAAAAAUUUCCCUAUUUGCUUCAAGAUUUUGAUGAGGGUCCUAAGGUGAUCCUUUUUUUUGAGAUUCUUGAUUUUUUAAGCAUGAAUGAAGUUAAGAAUAACUCUGAAGUCCGAAACCAAGAAUGUGGCUUUCGGAAAAUUGCCUGGGCCUUUCUUAAGCUUCUGGGAGCCAAUGGAAAUGCAAAUAUCAAUUCAAAACUUCGCUUGCAGCUGUACUACCCCCCUGCUAAGCCUCGAUCUCAGUUAAAUGUCAUUGAGGUUUUUGAAUGGUGGUCCAGAUGUCCAAGAAAUCGUUAUCCAUCAACGUUGUAUGUAACUAUACGAGGUCUGAAAGUUCCAGAUGGUAUAAAGCUGUCUUACCAAUCUAUGAUGGCUCUUCAGGAAGAGAAAGGUAAAUCAGAACAUUAUGAACAUCACCGUGAGUCAACUUCAGUAGACACAGAGCCUGGAUUAGAAGAUUCGAAGAAAAUAGUAGAGUGGAAACGACUACCUGGACAGGCUUGCCGUAUCCCAAACAAGCACCUCUUCUCACUAAAUGCAGGAGAACGAGGAUGUUUUUGUCUUGAUUUCUCCCAUAAUGGAAGGAUAUUAGCAGCAGCCUGUGCCAGCCGGGAUGGAUAUCCAAUUAUAUUAUAUGAAAUUCCUUCUGGACGUUUCAUGAGAGAAUUGUGUGGCCACCUCAAUAUCAUUUAUGACCUUUCCUGGUCAAAAGAUGAUCGCUAUAUCCUUACUUCAUCGUCUGAUGGCACUGCCAGGAUAUGGAAAAAUGAAAUAAAUACUACAAAUACUUUCAGAGUUUUGCCUCAUCCUGCUUUUGUUUACACGGCUAAAUUUCAUCCAGCUGUAAGAGAGCUGGUGAUUACAGGAUGCUAUGAUUCUGUGAUACGGGCAUGGAAAGUUGAUAUGAGAGAAUGUUCUGCUGUAUUGGUCCAACAAUUUGAUGCUCACAAGAGUUUUAUCAACUCUCUCUGUUUUGAUGCUGAAGGUCAUCACAUGUAUUCCGGAGAUUGCACAGGAGUGAUUAUUGUGUGGAAUACUUACGUCAAUGUUAAUGAUUUGCAACAUUCAGUGUGCCACUGGACUAUAAAUAAGGAAAUUAAAGAAACUGAAUUUAAGGGGAUUCCAAUAACUUAUUUGGAGGUUCAUCCCAAUGGAAAACAUUUGUUAAUUCAUACCAAAGACAGUACUUUGAGAAUUAUGGAUCUCCGAAUAUUAGCAGCAAGAAAAUUUCUAGGUGCAGCAAAUUAUCGGGAGAAGAUUCACAGUACUUUGACGCCAUGUGGAACUUUCCUCUUUGCUGGAAGUGAGGAUGGCAGAGUAUAUGUUUGGAACCCAGAAACAGGGGAACAAGUAGCAAUGUAUUCUGACCUGCCAUUGAAGUCACCCAUUCGAGACAUUUCUUAUCAUCCUUUUGAAAAUAUGGUUGCAUUUUGUGCAUUUGGACAGAAUGAGCCAAUUCUUCUUUAUAUUUAUGAUUUCAGUGUAGCCCAGCAGGAGGCUAAAAUGUUCAGAUGCUACAGUGCAACAUUGCCAUUACCUGGAAAACACCAAAGUCAAGAUGCUCUGUGUACCUGUCCUAAAUUACCUCAGCAAGGCUCUUUUCAGAUUGGUGAAUUUGUACACACUGAAAAUUCUUCCCCAAAGAUGCAGAUAGUGAAACAGAGACUUGAAACUGUCACAGAGGUGAUACGAUCCUGUGCUGUAAAAGUCAACAAAAAUCUCACGCUUACUUCACCACCUCCAGCCUCCUCACAACAGUCUAAGUUACAACAGUCAAACAUGCUGACCGCUGAUGAGAUGCUGCAUCAGUUUGGUUUCACUCAGACCGGGAAUAUCAGCAUAGAAAGAAGGCCUUGUAACCAUCAGGUAGAUUCAGCACCAACGGUAGUGGCUCUUUAUGACUACACAGCGAGCCGAUCAGAUGAACUAACCAUCCAUCGCGGAGACAUUAUCCGAGUGUUUUUCAAAGAUAAUGAAGACUGGUGGUAUGGCAGCAUAGGAAAGGGACAGGAAGGCUAUUUUCCAGCUAAUCAUGUGGCUAGUGAAACACUGUAUCAGGAACUGCCUCCAGAAAUAAAGAAGCGAUCCCCUCCUUUGACCCCCAAGGAAAAAACCAAAACAGAAAAACCUGCAGCUCCUCAAAAGCAGUCAGUCAAUAAGAGCAAGUCCCAGGAUUUCAGACUAGACUCACAGUCUAGAACACAUUCUGAAAUGGGCAAAGGACAAAGCCGUGAGGACAGGGGACACACAAUGGAUAUGCAGGCAAAGAAGAAUGAGCCUACAGGCUGAAAAGUCACCCUCUAGAGUGCUGAGGAUUGAACCCAAGGCCUUACACAUGUAGUAAAGAGUUGAAGAAGAAUGAAGACACAACCAAAUACAGAAAUGAAAUAGAAAAUUAAACCAAAUGGAAUUUCUCUUUAGAGUUCAAAAUUUUAAGAUACUAAGAAAGAAAAGAAGGAUCCACUACUUCUCCCUAUGAAAAAUCUAGAAAAAUCUGAAGCAGUAUAUGAAUAGAAAAAUCACUGCAUUUGAACUUAAUUGUUAUAAACCAUUGUAAUUGUUGUUGGUCAAAGUAUUGGUACUUGUGUUAUUAGUAACUGCCUUAAAUUUACAUUACCACUGUUGGAAAACCAUUAAAAAAUGCCUCUCAGCAAAUGUGAAUAAAAAGCGUUUGCAUUGUUACAAUGUCCAUUAGAUAAUCAUUCAUAUUGCAUCUAGAAUAUGGUUGUAUGUGUGAUGUUACACUCAGAAUAUGAAGUUACUGUUUUUGAAACUGACUUUAUCUAGAAGAUAAGCAGCUUCAGAAUGUUGUGUAUUCAAAAUAGUCACAAUGACAAAGAAAUUAUAAAGGAAAUAAUUUGCUUUUUUAAAUCAUAAUUUUAUAGCUGGACAUGAUGAUCCACACCUAUAAUCCCAGCACUCAGGAGGCUGAGGCAGGAGAAUCACCACAAGUUAGAAGCUGGCCUGGGCUACGUGGUGUGAUCAAGGCCAGCCUGAACUACAUAGUGGGACCCUGUCUGAAACAAAAACGUAACACUUUGUGUUUGUGCUGAGUCACAUAUGUAACUUGAUCCACCUAAACUAAAAGUGAAUUUUGUUGGAACUGACAACAGUGUUCCAUAUUACUUUUUUUAAAGGGCAGUUCACUUUACACAGAUAAGUAAUUUGUAAACUUUAUUGUUUAAUAUUUACUCUUCAAAUUCAUUUUAAGUUAUUACAUUAUUUCUGUAUCCAGAAUAACAGUGUCAUUAUCACAUGACUAUAUGUUUUGAAGCUUGAUGUAAUAGUGAAAUUCUCAUUUGUUUUUUCUUGAUUAUUCUUUCUCAAAUAUAUGAUAAAUCUGCCAAUAAAAUAUUUAGCACCAAGAAGGUCAAAAGUAAUAUAAAUUUUUAAUACUUAUUUACCAUAUUAAACAAUGGAUUCCAUUAAAAUAAGAAGUGAGAAAAACAGAGUUGGGCGUUGAGGUGUAAAUUUUGUCCAGAUGCAUACCCAAUGUGUGUAGUAAAGUAUAUUGGGCUAUAAUAUCCCUGCACAUGUUGCAGAAGCAUCAAAAUUGGUAAACACUGCCCUACUGCAGAGAACAUUCACAAACAAGGCCCUUUCAGAAGUGUGAGUAGGGCCGGGGAUUUAGCUCAGUGAUUCUCCUGCCUGCCUUACAAGUGCAAGGUCCCGAGUUCGAUCCCCAGUACCAAAAAAAAAAAAAGAAGUGUGAGUGCCCGCAGCCCUCUGUGCACAGUCCGCUGUGACAGUGCCAGGCGUCCCAGUCCUGGAUGCUCCAUCGGGGCCUCAAACACUGCUGGGCCCAGGCUGCUUGCACUGCCCUUGGACGAGUUUUCUUGUCUUGUGAAUGCACUUGAUAAUUUAAGAAUAAAGACACAGUAUAUGUUUCCCUGCA